rfam:Streptomyces griseoflavus Tu4000 genomic scaffold supercont1.1, whole genome shotgun sequence.
AGCCUGCCUUCCCCGCACAGGAAGGCGGAACCGAGGAACCGGAGCUCUCUGCCCUGACUGCCCCGGCUCCUCGUCCCUCGGCCGACCGGGACCGCACACCCCACGGCCGAUAUUGCUCCGGGCUGCGGUGCCGGGAGGGUUGAGGGUCCCUCUCAGGCGC